rnacentral:lncRNA from 1 species
CAUGCUGUUACGAUUUAACUGUGCCACGGGUCAUAUACCGACGACAACAAUAAUUAUAACAAUGGGUAUUAUGACGUAUAUAUAUACCUGCAUGUUGAAAUCUGGUGGCCGUCGAAAAUCCGUCGACGUUAUUAUAUCCGGUAAAUAUUACGAUCACAAUAAUAAUAAUAAUAAUGAUAGGUACGUUUCCAGUCUUGUCGAGAUUGGUAUUAUUGCGAUAUUAUGCAUAUCGGUUAGUAUGCAUUGCGUAAACGAUUCGGCACCGGAUAUCAUAAUAAUAUUCGGCUGACCGUCAAUCGUCCCGGGGCAUUAACGAGUUAAUGGGCACUCGCGAGUAGAGGCCACGCCAGUUUUAAUCGCGUAAGGCCGGAUUUUCGUUGUUUAUCCUGACAAUUUCGUAGUCGAUAGAAAAAUAAAAACGAAAAUGAAAAACAAAAAUUAUAUUUGAACUGCCGUUCUCGCGGGAAAAUAUUAUACUAUACUACUAUAUACUUACAACAGCGGCUGCUCCCGUUUCCUAAUGUAAUUUUGUUUUUUUAUAAUUCUUGUUUUUGAUCCGAUGAAGACGUUUUAUUUUAUUAAUUUUUUUUAUUAGAGGAAAUUCCACAAAUUCGGAAGUCAAUCGAGGAAUGACGUUGAUUAUUUUUGUGUUGUAAGUGGGUUUAUUUAUCAUAAAAUUAAAUUUGAUUGCUACUUAUGGGAUAGGUAUAGGUGGGUCCGGGUCUCGUAUUUUCGAAAAGCCAGUAUACCUUCUGUCUUUAUUACAGUAUUUGGUUUUAAUAGGCACCUUUUUACCAAUGACUAUAGAACUUAGGGAUAUAAUGGGAAAAUUUUCAGCUAUCACCAAUAAUAAUUGAAUCAAUAAUAUCAUUUACGAGAUUGGAAUUGUGAGAAAUUCUAUGAUUUUGUUAUCUGAGUUGAUGUGGAAUGUUGUAAAAUAAUAGAUUAGACGCUCGAAAUGUAUGGAAUAUUGCGCUUGGACAUUAAGCUCUUCGGAACAAUGAUAAUCAUUUUUAUUAUUUUCCUUUUGAUUAUUAAAUUCAGAUUAGCAAACGAUUUAUUAAUAUGUUCAACUUUAGAAUAUCGCCAUUGUUGCAGAAUUUACGUCACUGAUUUUGAUAUUAGAUUACUAAUAUUUUUUAUAGUUUUAAGUCAAUGGGGGAGGGGAUAUAACCCCUAACUUCCUUUCCUCUGCGUAUGCCACUGUACACUGUACAUAAUAUGUAUUUAAUAAAACGCAUUUUUGUACUUGGUGUACAUUAUUCGUUUUCUACAGCUUCUCGAAUAUUUUGUAUGACACACUAAACUGCAGUCAUUAUAAUAUUAACGGUCGAAUCAAGUUCAGCAAAUUUUAUCAUUAAGAACUAAAAAUUCUUCUCUUCUACAAAUUAUUGUACUGCAUUAAAACUGCAUUAGUAACUUGCAUUAAAAGUCAUUGUAGUUAUUAACAUCUUUAAUUGCUAUAUGAGCUUCAAUAAUCUUCAGUGCAAUUUUUGAUUGUACUUUAUCUGAUUUAUUUUUAUUUUUAUUAUUUACGACUUGUAACAUACAGACUCGUGGACAGUGGUAACCAAAAUGUUUUUUUUCGUUUACGAUGUGUAAUAUUACUUUGGGCGAAAACCAAAUCAUUAUUUUUUGAGUUUGGGUAAAAAAAGGUCAUUUGGAUGAAAACAGGUCCUCCCUUUAAUACACAUAAAUUAUAAAUGACGACAGAAAAGUUAAUGCAUUAUAACAUUUAGCCAAAUUAAAUGAAUCACGGGGAAAAAUCCGGGGACAAAAGUCCGUUUUAAAAAAGGUUUGAUAAAAAGUCCAGAUUCAGAUUUUAUUGUCGGACAAAAGUCCGAAAAUACAAAAAAUUCUAUUAAAUUUUCAUUUAUAAUUAUACAAUUUAUUGUAUAAUAAAUAAUUUAAUUAUACGGGUUAUAUAGGUAUAUAAUAAUAUAUAAUUAAUAUUAAUUUUGAAAACUGUUGUACAUAUAUAAUAUAUAUUAUAUUAUACUUUUUUUUAACCCGUGUUUUUUUUCCUGUUUUCUUAUUCUUAUUAUUUCGUAUAGCUAACAAAAAUAUAACGGAACUCCACUUUAGUUAGGUAGGUAGGUACCUACCUAUAUAUAUAUAUCAUAUAUAUAUAUAUAUGAUACAUGCGAUUAUCAAUAUUAUUAGCACGAUCAUUAUUUAUGUUGACCAUUUUUAUUUAAAUUUAUGUUAAACGAUUUUUGAAAAAUUGUUUACUAUUAUAUAUUUAUUGUAUAUACUAUAUUGUAUAUAGUAUAUACUAUAUUGUAUAUAGUAUAUACCUAUAUAAUUAUAAAUAACAAUUUAAUAAAAUAUUUCAUAUUUUCCAAUGUUGUCCGACAAUAAAAACCGAAUCCGGACUUUUAGACCGAUUACCAAACUAAAUACCGAAGAUAUUUAAGUUACUGUUAACACGGGGGCUAAUAUUAAUUGUUGACAGUUAAUAUUACUAAGAGCUAACUAUGAGUAUUUCCCAUAAAUAUAAAUUAUCCGGAUCAAAAAAACUCCUCUAAAAUGAUUAGGCACAACGAAUACAGAAUUAGAUUUAGGCAAUCACAACUGCCUGUGAUUUACGAAAUCUAAGUAACACAAUUAUUUUAGUGAACGAAUUCAUGAUGAAAAAUAAUGCCAAAAUACAUUUUUUUAAUUAAACUUUUCCCCUCAACAAGAAUAUAAAAACUAAAAUUAUGAACAAAAAACUGCCACAAAAUACGAAAAUGAAUAAAUACAACACGACUGCUUAAAAGAAUUUUUGAAAAAAAUAUUUGUAUAGAUGCGUCAAAAAUAUUGUAAUGUUAUAUAAUGUUCACACAACAUAACAAUAAUAUAUACAAUUAUUUGCAUUUAUAACAAUGCGACUAAAAGAUUCAAAUGCGGCCAAGUAUUGUUAUUGAUAACGAUUUAAUUUAAUAAAACGUUUGUUGUUCGAGUGUGAUACAUAUUAUACUAUAUUCCUAUCACAAUCGAAAUAUUUUAAAAUGGUCAAACAUAGUAGUGAUUUACGACGUUUGCGUCAGCUUUUUGAGGACACCGCCGCGUCGCCAUCACCAUUCGGUAAUAAUCUUACGAUAUUUCUGCACUAAAUUUAAUUUCAUUAUUAGUCAAUUUUUUAUCGAAACCGACGCGAUGACCAACGGACCCCAUUCAACUCACGAACAAUAACGGUUUUUUUUCCAUUGUUCGGGAGGGAUCUGUCAUGUUACACGCGUUAUUACUACUUCCAAUUGAAAUAUUUCAACACGAGUCAAAUAAAAAUACGACAUUGGUCAGCCCUUUUACGACACCGCCGUCGAAAUCACAGUCCCACACGAAAUACGCCCUUAUAAUUAUUUCUGUACAAAAUUCAAAUCAAUACAACACUGGACCUGACCUUUUGCCUUUUGAAACGAUUAAAAUAUAAUGGUUUUUUUUUUCAUAUAAAUCUCGAGCGCCUCGACCGCUCGACAAAUCCCAAGACGAUCGCUCUUUAGAGAAUCCCGCACACAACAAUUACGCAUCGUCAACAAAAUAGCUGGUCGGGCCGUUAUUUAUUCAUUUUUUUGUGAUAUUAAAAUAUAUUCAAGAGCUCAUUGCAUAUCAGCUGACUUAUGGCAUACACCUUUAUCCAAAGAGAUAUUAAAAAUUUAUGGAGACCAUAUUAUACAUAAGGGGCCAUAAUAUAGCCGAACCGUAUUUUAACCGAAAAUAUUUCAACCGACCGUAAUAAGCCGAAUAUAAAAUUAACAGAAAAUAUUUCCGCCGACAGUAUUUUGGCCGAAAAUAAAACAAACGAACGUAUUUCAGCCGAAUUGACCGAAACUAUUAAUUAUUAACUUGUAAAUUUCUUGUCAUUGUUUUUAUCAGAAAAUAUUGAAUUAGAAAGCUUGGAAUUUUAAAUGAUAUUUCGAACAAAAGUUGAAAAAUUUGAAAGAAUAUACAAAUUUUUGAGUUAUAAUUCCGACACGAUUUUGAACAAAUAAAAAAAAAAAUUAAACGACAUUUUGAAAAUUGUCUAUGAUAAAAAUAUAUAUUAUUUAAUUAAUUAAUUUUAAAUUAUUAUUAUUUUUAAUUUCAACCAUUUGUAAGCAUUUAAAUUAUUCAGGUGUGGAUAAACAUCCACAUGUUGGAUUUAAUAUCAAAACCAGUGGCGCUGAAGCAGUAUUAAAAUAGUCGGGCAAACUUUCCAAAAUAGGUAAUACAAACCACCAACCACCUAAACAAUAUUUUCAGGAACUCAUGGGUGACUUUGCUACCCAUACUCUCUCCCUCGCCCUGCAUUGAUUUUCUUCUAUUUACAACAACACCCAUUUUUUAUAUAUUUUUCUUACAAUUUAUUUGUACAAUUUCAAUACGUUAUACUAUACAAAUUAACAAAAUACAUAAGUCGUACUAUGGUAAUAUAAUAUAAGUUAAUAAUAAUUUAUAAUAUUAUUUAACAAAUUAAUAUAAUUAAUAGCACAAUAAUAAAAUAUACCUAGUACAGUAAAAAUAAAAUGAUUAAAACAAAUCCAAAAAAGACGGAUAUACUUUGCAUGUGGGUGGGUCACUGUUGUAGGUAAGAAGUUGAGAAGGUAAUAGAGGGGAAAUUUAAUGUAUAUUUGUACGCAAUGAUUAACCAUUGCUAACGAAAAACGAUUCUGAGCAGAGUUUGGUCAAUAGUGUUACUUUUUUAACAAUAUAUUUGUCACAUUAUGAUAAAAUACUAACAUAUUAUGCAUUAUAUUAUACUUGUUUAAUAUUGUGUUUAUUUUCCAUUUUUUCCCAUUUAUUAGGAAAACUUUUUCAAAAUUUUGGGAAAAUCAAUAAAUUACUUCCUAAAGUACCACUCCAGUCAGAUUUCUUUUAGGAAAAAAUGCUAUUAAUAUAAUACUUACGGAAUACUAAUGUAUACCUACUAUGUAAAAAGUUAAAAUAGGUACUUAUAUAAUUAUCUACUUUUUUAAUUAUUUUCUAAUCUUGAACGUUUAUUUUUGAACAAUUUCCUUAGUUUUUAUAAUUUAUACAGUUUAUUCAUUUUUCACGGUCGUAAUUUAUGUUAUAGCUCUAAUGUGAGAAUAUCCUAAUGAGUAAUGACUUAGUACCACGAUAUUGAUGACAUUUUAUCUGCAUCGUGAUUGGUACUUACUGUCAUUGAUUAUAAAUCAAUAGGUAAUCAAUAGUAAUACCUAGGAUAAUUAUUGUACAAAUUAAAUUUGCGUGGGUUAUAUUUGACUAAUUACUACAGAAUUUUAAUUAUGUAUAAUUUGAUAAAAUAUAUGAUCGUCUAAACCAUUUUUCAAACAAAUUUUCAAAUUUUGCUGUGAAUAAAUCUUUAAAUAACUUGAUAGUCAUUAAUCUUUCCGCCAACGACCAUACCACGUUGAAUACACCAGUUCUCGUCCGAUCACUGAAGUUAAGCAACGUCGGGCGUAGUUAGUACUUGGAUGGGUGACCGCUUGGGAACACUACGUGCCGUUGGCAUUUUUUUGCCUAUUUUUUUCUCUAUUAAUUCUUUCCAUUUUUUCUCCGACAAAAGUGAAAACCACAUAGUAUCUACCAAAUAAAAAUUACGUAAAACUCAUAAGGUAUUUGUCAUAAGUCAUCUUUCAAAAUUUCAAGUUUUUAAGAAUAUUUUUAACGGAAAAACAACAAAAGAACAAAAUUGAAAAUUAUAAAUAUUUAAAUAAAAGUAUUAUUUUCGUAAAUUUUCCCGUUCUUUUUACGUUUUUUUCCUAAUAAUUAAAAAAAACUACAGAGAAAAUCUAACCUACUCAUCAACAAAAUUAAAAAUGUAACAAAAAAAAAGAUCUCUUGUCAUUUUUCUAUUAGAGUCAAUAUUUCUUGACUUAACUUAGACUUGGCCAUACCAAAAUCCAUAACACAUAAUAACCUAUAUAAUAAAAAACAAUUAGAUAAUUUACAAAACAUAUUAUUAUAACCGUAAGAAAUUGACGCAGCACAAAAGCAAUAUAAUCAAAUAAACGAUUGGAUUCAACAUUGUGGAUCAAGGACUCAUAGAAUUAGAGCCAUAUAGACGAAGGCGUCAUAGAACGUCUGGUUGAAGAGAAACUCACUAAAAUGUGGGACUGGUUCGUAGGUUUUGGAUAUCAGUCCUACUUGCCACUUGUCAUAUUUCGCGUUCGGAAAUUAUUAACUAUGUACGUCUAAAUUCAAUAUUAAAUAUGUCCAUACUAUAUCAAACUUUUGGAUAAAGCUUUAUCCAAAGAUCUAAGAUCUAAGGUUUUAGCUGGUAUAUUUUUUGGUUUAACGCAAUGUGUUAUGCACAAAGCGCACAAUAAAAAACAAAUAUAUGAAAUUCAAACCGAAAUAAAAUUUACCAACCACAGUCCGAAAUUCAUCAUUUGAUGAUACCAAUCCAAAUAUACCAAUCCGAACUUCGUAAAAUAUACCCAUCAUUAUUAAAUUUAUAUCGUCCUUCGAAUAAUAUGUAUAACAACGAAUAAAAAAGCAACAAUGUUACCAUGUAUACCAAUGGUAUACACAGAAAUCGAACACAACAAAAACAUUUUUUAGUAACAAUACGAAACAUCAACCAAUUUACCGAUCAUACACACACAGAAGCGUACAAUAUGGCGAAUUCCGUCAAUAAAACACAUUUUAUGCACGUAGUGUUAUUUAUCGAACUUUACCUACCCGUACCCGAUUGACUAUUAUUAAAAACCGACCCAUACUAUCGUAACAUUCCGUACUUACACCUAUACUGACGUAAACCUAUAUAAACACGGCGUGCCUGCAUAUUUUAUAUACACAAAUAAGUGCUAAGGUAUAUAUAGGUAUAUACCUAAAUUCACGGAAAUAAAUCCCUCGAGCAUUUGUCACUAACACUCCUAUAGUUUGAAGCGAUAGCUAUCGUACAAGUCGUUUUAUCAAACAAAAUUGUCACAAAUACCUCAUAGAAAUCUGUGAAUUUAUUGUCUGAAUUUUCCAAUAACUGCAUGAAAAACGCGUAACGUCAGUAUAACAGAACAAUUUACGAACUAAAAAUUCGACCCGCGCAAACAAUAAAAAUUAAAUUUCGCUACAAUACAUCUCUACAAUCCAUGUUACAAAUCUCGUAAUUCAUUGUGUAUGUCAAUUUGAUAUACAGCUUUUUGACAUAGAAUUUGAACAAUCUGUAAUUUAAAUUUCAUUAUUGGUGUAAGCAUAUUGACUAAAUUGUUUAUUUUUGUUAAUAUAAAUUAUUGAAGCUAUUUUGGAGACCUGCAUUUUUGAAAAUUGUUGGUAUUUACAGAUUUAAUAGAGUUAACCUUUAUAAUGUCGGCGCGUGAUCCCGUGGCCUGUGUUGACGCAUAAUGAAAUCCGCGCGGUCACUGCCAUUCAUACAGAUAAUGCGUCGUUUUAAUACUAUAUUAAUAAUAAUACGAACACCAAUACAACAUAAACGCGUACUUAGAUAUGUAGGUAUUGUAGAUAUACGAAUCGACAAUACACACACAAACACUCACACAGAUAUACAAAUAUAUGUAGGUACAUUGUACAUACAUUACAUACCCUCGUGUUUAAAAACAUACCUACCCUUUUACUUUCAUUCGUUUUUCCUUUCAUUCUACUACCUUAUCCUGCUACUACCCCUUCCUUUAUUUUCUCUUUUUUGUUACAACAUUGUACAACAAAAAAUUAUCCAUUUAUUAUAAACCAUCAAACAAUACUAACAAGAAAAACAGUGUGUCGAAUGCAUACAAUCAUUUGUUUUGCAAACUUUUUCUCUAUUUAUGUAAAACCGUGCAGACUCGUUAUCAAAAAAUUCCGAAUGCAGUUUAAAAUACAAUUUUUAAUUUUUUUCUUUCUUGUAUGCCAAUCAUGGAAACGUGAUCACUUUAAAAACUUAAAUGCAAUUAAUUGUAAUACAGGGUCCGACAAAAGAACCUCCUGUAUUUCAAAAGGCAGUUACAAAUAAACAAACAUAGGUAGGUACAAAAAAAAUGAUUCCAUUUUUGAAUUACAAAUACUAUUUUACAUUAUAUAAAAUAAUUACUUCGUUUUAAACAUUAUGCCUGUUAAAUGGCGUCUUUCAUUAUUGAUACAUUGACGAAGCUUUUCCCGAAAGUUGUCCCUAUUUGUUCGUAUCAUUUCCGGUGUAAUGGCAUCCACUGGCCUGGGUGAAUGCCUUCUUAAGUGUUUGCAGGAUUGUACGACUAUGACUGUAAACUAGCGCCUUUAAAUAUUCCCAGAGAAAAUAAUUACAAGGUGAUAAAUCGGGUGACUUCGGACCCAGGUGAUGUCUCUUAGCAAAGACAGACGUCCAGCAAACAACUCUCUCAAAAUUGCUAGUGAAUGCCAUGAAGUGUAAUACCGUCUUGUUGGAACCAGACUUCUCGCUCUUCGUGGCAGUGGCGUAGCGAAUUCAAAUAUUUUCAAAGGCGAAAUAUAUUUUUCGAUACCCAUCAACCCACCUAUCCAUAGGUACAUGACCCACACAUCGAUUAUUAUUUUUGAACAUUGAACACUGGGUUUUUAUCUUUUUCAAAAAAUGCCCUAUAAAAAAGCAUUUAUGGGAGUGGAAGAUUGCCUCUUGCAUUUAAUUUUAAACCAUAGAGAUAAUUAUAAGAUAAAUUCAAAUAACACGAAAUGUGACAUUAUUUUUUAAAAGAUUACUGUUUCUUUAAUAGGGUUCAGUUGUACAAUAAUUAAAAUAUCAAUUACCAUAAAUUCUGCAUUAAGAGAUCUGAAGACUGCGAACAUGUCAAUUGCUUUAUUACGAUAAAUUUCAACAUUUUUUUCAGAGCUAAUAUAAGUAGACUUUCGGUAAAUAGGGUGGUUCCUAUAGUUCACGGCGCGAAACGGAACAACAAAAGAAGAGUUGGACCUAGUGGGAUUUGUUGGGACCUUAAAAUUAAUUUGAGAAAAGAGAGCUGAAGCAUCCACACGUCCGUCAAUGACGGAUGCUGCUUAUGCAAAAACAUCAAAUUAGCUUCCACUCUUUUAUUUGAUAGAGAUAUAAGAUAGUGCUUAUUGAUUACUGGACCAUAAUUGUGUGGAGGGUGGGGAAUUUUUUAAAUGAAAGCUACAGAAGAGCUAAAACAUCAAUAUAAUAUAUAAUAAUAUUAUUACAUUGGUAUACAAAUAUACGGUUUAUCUACAUAAAUUGUAUUUUUCCAUACAUUUUUUAUUUUGUUUAAUUUAUCUAUAAUAAAUCAACAACAUAAGAAUAAUCUAUAAAAAUCGUUCGUUAAAUAAAACGAUAUUUUUCGUAAUUAUAUAGCACUCGCCGUUUAUAAUCUAUCGUUCACCCCUUAAAAAAAAGGUGUGACCGCUGUUAUAGCGUAUUCGGCGCCACUAAUAAAAUAUAUUAUAUUACACAAUAAUGAUGUUGUCGAACAUUAUUGUUUUUAUUAUUUCGCUUCCUGCUACGAUGACAUCGUUACAACAUUAUUUUAAUGGUUGUAUUACUUUUCGCUACGAUAAAAAAAAAGCUCUUCCCCAUGAACAGCUGAGUUCUUCAUUACUAGAAAGUCUAAUUUGAUUUUUUGUGUGUAUUUAAAAAUUAUUCUUCGAUUAAAACAGUAGCCCGCGCUAACAAAUAUCGUCUCACUACGAUUUGUAACAGUAUAGGUACCCUCGGCGAAUCUCAAUACAGAUCUUACAGAUUUCAAGCGAAGCGAGGAAUACAUUAUUCUUUUAUCCCAGAGAAGAAGAGUUAAUUUUCGGAAUUUUGUUUUACGAUUUUUCUUAAAUCACUGUGAAUUUGUGAUGUACUUUUCCUUUGGUAAAAAAGGCCUAAGCCAUGUUAUUAUAUGAUUUAAGGCAUUUUGUAAUUUAGAAAUUUAGCUAUUAUGUUGUUUUUUAUAUUACUAAUAUUUUUGAAAUUGAAUUCGAAUUGUUAUUUUUCUUGUCUGUAAACAACUUUGUUUUUAUCCGAAAUCUUGCUUCAAUUAUUAACAUUAAUGCCCGUAUGCAUAGUCCCGAUCUUAUGUGUUACAUUGCUUAUCGUUGCUUAUGCUGCAUCGUUGCUUAAAUGACCCAUAGCUGAUUGGCCCAUAACCUAUUUAUUUAUUUUUUAAACGGACCUUCCAUAUUUCCAAGAUAUCAUCUAGGUAUAUUGUCAUCUAUAUAAAUUUCAAUUUUCAAAGUUAAUUUUUUGUAGUUUUCUCAAUAAUUGAGAAAAACCGAGAAAACGUCAGAAAAACGAGACUAUUUACGCAAUAACGGUUUCGUUAGUUAGGAUUUUUUUAUUGUUGUAAUUUUGUGAAGAAUAAUCGUAGUGAUUUUUUCCAGCGUUUUUCUAGUUAUUAAUAUAACUAAUUCAAAAUAUAAAAACAUGUGUUAGUAAUGCGAGUUAUGCAAUAUGCGCGUAAAAAUGGUUGGUACGUUUUACACGAACAAUUAAUAGUUGCGGUUAUUAUUAUAUUAUUCCGCGGUCACAAAAUAUUAAUAUGCGAUCGCGUUCAGUUCAAACCGAUCGAAUACCGGCUGCGUCUAGGGCACACCUUUGGCGACGUUUCGCGCGUUCGCUGCGGAUAUUUCGAGAAUCCGACCAGGACCGCGCACUAUAUAAUUUUGUACGCGGAUAAAUAUUUUGGCGGCAUUUUACGACGUGUGGGUUUUUUGCGGUCACGACGACGCGGUUAAACGUAAUGAAUAUGCCCUCGUUUUAGUACGGCCGAAACGGCGGCGGAGAUUUAUAACGAGAUUGUGCCGUUACGUUCUCAAGAAUGACACCCCGAGUAGGUAGGUAUAUAAUAUACACAUCCGCGGGUUUUAUGCGUGCGCGAACCCUCCGGAACCUCGAAGACACUAUAUAUACACACACUUAGGUACCCCGGUGAAAUUUAUUAUGUUUUUCCGCGCGAAAACGGUCGGCGGCGCCUGGAAGGUCCGCGCAGCCGUUGGGUCGUCCCGGUGAAUUAUUAUUAUUAUUAUUGCGUUGCGGGACGUCGGUGGCGGCGGCGGCGGCGUCGUGGCGGUGAAGACGACAGGCGUUUUCGGCAUUUCACGUAUUUAUUGCGGGAUCCGACGGGAAAAACUCGUACUCGCGCUAUCAUAAUAUAUACGUUUUCUUGUCUCCUGCACAGUGGAGUGCGGUCCAGGAGGGAAACGUCGAGUUUGGAAAUUGUGUGUAAUAGAAAAAAAAAAAAGGAUCAAUUUUAGAUUCUCGGCGGAGCGAGGAACCUAUUGGUUUUACGACGACAUGUUUAUUAAUUUUCUUUUUCCGUGAACAACUUUUAUACCAGAUAUUUUGAUCCGAUUUUCAAAGCUGCGUGUCGCUGUCGUCCCCGGGUCAGAAGUACUACUCGAAACCGGUACAAAAAUUUGUUAUGUAAUUUGUACAAAUUUGUAACAUUAACCCAGAAAUGUUUACAACCCACCUAAUAGUUGAAAAACGUGUUUUUUGUCACGAACACCAGCGACACGUGUCGCCAGCGUCCGUAUUUCUUACGUUUUUGUCGUAGAGAUUCGAAACCGGUACCAAAAUUUGUUAUAUGAUUUGUACAAAUUUGUAACUGCAACCCUGAAAUUUGAACAACUCUCUCCUCUCAAGUGUGAUCAAAUCAAGUUUUGGUUUGACUAGACGCGAUAAAUUUGAUGUUAUGUACGUCUAUAAGUAUCUAAUAUAAUAUAGCUUAUGUGUUCUCAAUUCUGUGUAUCAGUGUUGAAAAAAAAAAAUUUUUUUUUUUAUUAUUAAUAUGAUAUCAUGGAUUAUAAAAGUAAUUAUUUCUUUUCUAUUAAGUAUCUAUUUAUUAAUUAUUAUUUAUUUUCCGCAUUUCUUAGUUUAUUUCGUAGAGACUCGAAACCGGUACCAAAAGAAGAGCGUUUGUGAAGUGCAUUUGUUCUUUGGAAAAUUUCUCAAUAGUUUUUAAGACAUUUAAAUCCGGACUCUAGUAAUUAUUAUAAGUUUAUUUACUGUUCACAUAUUAAUCUCGUAAAAUAAAAUAUCGUCUUGGCGAUGCCGCUCACCAGUACUUUUUAUUGUAUUUCCUUUUAUAUUCUGAGUGGAAUGCAGAAUUUAAUGGUUUUAUAAUGAUGUUUAUUUUUUUGCUUACAACUUUUCUACCAGAAAUUUUGUUCCGAUUUUCAAGUAUAGUACUUUUUCUGAAAAUAAAUCUGAUUGUACUGAUGGUACUUUAUAAAGGUCAUUUUUUAAUUUUCUCAGGGGUUUUCAUAAUAAACGGGAAAAUUUACGUAAUGUAUUAUUUUCAAAUCGUAAAUAUGACGGUCUUUUAAAACAAUGUAACCGAAUCUCUCUCAGAAUCGUUUUUCGUCAACAAUGAUUAAUCGUUGUGUAUACAGAUAUACAUUAAAGGCUGCAGUGUAGAACACCGUUAAAUAUGGGGGAGGGGGGGUUGGCGCAACAAAAUCAAUUUUUUUCAAACUUGUAUCUCUACAAAUCAGUCACCAGAAUAGCCAGAUCUUUUUUGUGGAGUAUUUUUGAGGAUUCGAUGGCUGAUUGGAUUAAAAAAAAAACAAGACAUCACCAAAUCAAUCAAUUAUCAGGCCCUGUAACUAAGAAAUAAUGGCUUGUUUUAUAUACAAUUUUAAAAUUUAUCGUAUUCGGUAAAAUUUCACGGCAUUCGUCGUCGGAACCGAACGGAAUUUUAAACUCGUUAGAACGGUUAUAUUCGUGCGUGUUUCGACGUCUAUAAUAUUAUACGCACGUAAACCAAACGCAAGUAAUUGCCGAAUACUAUGUAUUUACUGCGAAUAUUUUUUUAUUUAUUUAAAUUUUUUAUUUUCGAUUCAAAUACAUUUUAUCACGGUGUUUUUUUUUUGGUAUACGAUAUAAAAUACAAAAGCAGAUGAACGAAUUCGCGGCCUGACAACAAACGAUAAUAAUAUUUACGCGGAUAUUUUUACACCGGAUGUAUUCGCAUACCGUUUGGUCGAUCGCGAACCGCACGAAUUCUUCUGGGAUACCGAAAACGAGGUUAUAUAGGUACAGGUAGAUAGGUAUAUAAAGCACAAAAACGGACGGACAUUAUUACGAUUUAUACGUUCCGUUCGCCGUCGUAAUAUCAUGGUAUAAAACUAAAAAAAAUAAAACGAUAACCGCUGUUUAUUCCGUAUUCGACAGUGAUGCCUGAGUGUUUUUUUUUUUUUAUUUCGUUUUCUUAAAACCGUUCAUGCAGUGCCUCUAUAAUAUAUAUUAUAUAUACAUCCUCGUAUAUACAUGCGUAUAAAACGGAAACGAACCGGGAAAUUCAAUUACCUUCCCGUCGUCGUCGGGAAACAGGUGCGGACGUAUUUUCUCACCGUGGCGUGCGCACAUCAUAUAUUAUAUAGGUACCCUACCUAUACAUACGUAAUCCGGUAAAGAAAUUUAUUUGUUUCCUCGGCGAAAACUACGAGCCAAUUUACGGGUUAACAUAUGUAAAAAGGCUUUCGUUACCCAUAUAUAAUGUACACUCGUAUAUAUUGUUACUGUGCUGCGAAUUCCCAAGAUCGUGUUCACCGAAUACAUGUUAUUGCGUAAAACGGGCGCGAUACUGUAUGCGUUGAUUCGAUAAUGACGUCGCUGCAGGUCCUCUCUACAAAAGUCUCUGAAAAAUCCCGUCGCCCGGAGAUUUCAUCGGGAGUUAUGCUGUUUUAAUUCGCACCGAAAUAACCAUAGUAUACGUCAUGGGCGCUCUCACGAGAGGUGUGAUGGGGGGAUGGGUCCCCGUAUGGACUUUUUUUUUUUAGGUAAUAUGGAGUUUCCUGUUUUACUGAUAUUAAAUGACAAUAAUCAAAUAAUUAAAUAUAAUCCAUACAAUUUUUUUUGACUCGUUAUCAUUUUCCACGAUAUUCGUACAUAGAUUACAGACCACGCAUGAUUACAGACUGACAUAUUGUUGACACUAUCUGUGAUUAAAGAUUAAUAUAAUUUUGUAAAUUCAACAUUUUAAUCAAACAUAUAAUGUGUUAUAAUUUAAUGUAAGUUGUUUUUAUAUAAGAAAGAUUACUUUUUAAUCAAUUUUCAUACCAACCCCCCAAUAAAAAUAUCCUGAAAACAUCUCUUAUGGAAUAAUUAUAUCGUGUAACUUGCAAAGCGGUCAAACAUAGCGUUUGUAAUUUGCAUCGAAACCGCUAUCUGUAUUACACAUGAUGAUUAUCAUUGAGUAUUCAGUUAUUUCGACGGUAUCAAUAAUGCGUGUGUAUUAUUUCCGAUUUAUCCAUCAUAUACUCGGAAUCAAUGUGACCUCGAUUUGAAUGUUUUAAAUAUAAUUGUAUACAUAUAGUAUUUAAUUUUUUAAUUUUUGAGAAAUUUAAUUAACGCGUUAAUUGAAUGUUCACGAAUUCGCUCAUUCCCUGUUAAACAAAUACUACAAUUUUUUAAGCGCGCCUGUUAAAUGUGCAAAUCAAAAAUUGUCUAAAAAUUAAAAACAAAAUAAAUGUCUUAUUCGCUUGUAGAAAUGCGCGAUACGGAAUUUUAACAAAAUGAGCGCCGUACAGCGAGCUUAUUAUAAGUGCCGUUGAAAAACGGUUAUCUUAUAAUUUUUAUACAAUAUACGAGCGCCGCACAUUUUUGAAAACGUUUAACAACGAUGCCGGCCGUGAAAUAUUGAAAAAUUCGUAACGUAUAAAGAAGCAAGUAAAUUAUUAUUCGAUGUGAAAAAAACGAAAAACGAACACAAUAGGUAGGCGCAUAUUAUUAUACAAGUACGAGCGAAUUACACCGAACACAAUAUUAGUUAUAUUGCUCGUUCUUAUAUUAUUAUACCGUAACGAGGCUGCGCUUAUUUACGUUUAAAGUCAAAGAGGAAUAAUUUAUUAUAAUCUCAACGUCGCUGCCGGUCGCUGUGUGAAGAAAACAUAAACGCGCAGUUAAAACCGUGGAAAACAAUUAUAUAUAUAUGUAUAUAUAUAUAUAUAUAUAGGAUAUACAAUUAUAAAUGGAUAAGUAUACUGCAGAAAAAGCGUAAAAAACUGGCAUCAUUCACGACUCUGUUAUAAUAAUAAUAAUAACAACACGAAAUAGCGUCAUUUUUGCAAUAGCGAAAAAACUGUUUUUUUUUUUUCUAAAUUUUUUUCCGGUAAAGUAAACAUCAGCUCGUUCGCCCCCGGGCCGUCGGGCUUUCCGUACGAUAUUAUAAUGUAUAUUGUCGUUUUGUCCUCGCCAAAAUUGGACCGUUUCCCGAGCGUCCCGUUAAAUUUACAAUUCAUUAAAUUUGAAUUGUUAUAAAAGCCCUCUAUUGUGUGAAAUAUAUAUUAUUAUAAAACGCGAUAUAAACUUCAAUAAUUGAAUGGCGCGUUGUGUGAUUGUUUAUAUAAUAACGUUUUAUAUAAUAAAAUUAUAUGUACACAUAUAUAUAUAUAUAUAUAUUUAUGUUUGUUUUUGCGAAACGAUACCGCGCGUUUGUGCGAAUUUCAUUCGGUAAUUGAAACUAAAAAAAACACAGUUAUAUCGGCGGCCCUACCAACGUAACACCGCGGCAGUCGAUGUAUUGUGUUGGCGGCGAUAGAUUUAUAAAAUUGUCGGCGCACGGUUCUACAUUUUUUUUGUUUACAAUUUGCCAGUCUCUCGGUUGGUAGUGGCGGUUUUUAUUGGGAGUGUGUGAGGGGGGGGGUGAUGGGAGCGAUCACACGGCAAACCAUUGCUAACGAAAAUUCGAUUCUGCAGAGAGGAGUUCAGUUAAUUGUGAUGCUUUGUCAACAAUAUUUAUGUCCUAUUAUGGUAAAAUAAUUAAAUAAGCAAUAUAUAUUUUCUUUAAAAACAUUUGUUUAAUAUUGUACCGAUUUUCCCACGUUUUUCCUGGUUUUUCACAUUUUCUGGGAAAACUGCUGGGAAAAUCGAAAAAUUACCUCCCUAAAAUACCUCCCCAGUUAGAUUUUCUUUUAGAAAAAGUGAUAUUGUAAAUCGGAGCAAAAUGCUGGUAAAAAAGUUUCUUUCACAGAAAAAAAAAUCGUAAUAUUUUACUAAUAUAUUUCAUACAUUUUCCAGUUUUUUUUUGUUUUUCACAUUCGUUAAAAAAACAUCAGAAAAAAUUGAAAAAUGACCUCCUUAGAGUACCUCCCUCCCUCCCAACAAAAUUUCUUUUCAGAAAAGUCGCUACAUCGUAUACAUUGGAGCAAGAUCUCUGGUAGAAAAGUUGUUCACAGAUAAAACAGUUGUAAAUCCAUAAGAUUCUUUGCUCAACUCAGAAUAUAAAAUGAGUUAUGCGUAACUUAUUAUAGCACCAUAAACAAAUGUUAUCCUUUAUUUGAUAUAUGUUAUUGUGGUAUGGGGUCUAACAAAAUUAAAAUCGCCUCCCCCGGUAAAGGGGACCGUUCGCGCAUUUCUUUCUUUGCGGUCGUUCAAUCCUUUCAUCACGCUGGAUCGAUCCUCGGAGCGACCCGGUUUUGACCUCAGACGUCAGUACGGGAAUAUAAGGUGUUGUACAGGGUUAGUUGAGAUCGCCGGGUCGGAUCACCGACCGUACGCCCUAGUAUUUGUCCCAAGCGCUGAUUUUACUGAGUGGGUCAUGCAGUGGGUUCAGGUGCACAAACGCUAAACACAUAACACGUUCGGGCAUCUCACAGAUGUAUAAAAAUAUACAGCCCACUGGGAAGUUCAAAAUUUAUAACUUAGUAUAUUUCGAAUCGAUAAAGAAGUUGCAAAAUAUCAAUCUCUAAUUGGACUGGGUAGCAGUAUAGUAUUAUUUAUCCGGAACCGCUUUUCGUUUGUAAAUCUUUGUCGUCGCAUACAGUAUACGUGCAUAAACUAAAUUACACUGUAUAAUAUUAAAUAUCUUCCCGAUUACCCAUCUACGCAACAGCUAGUGGCCUACCCGUGAGCUGUAUCGAUUUUUUUAAGUUUUUAUGUACCGGAUAAUCAAAUCUGGGCAAUAACUUGUGUAGUUAAAUUCAUCAAUAAUAAUUUUUCAAAAUCAUAGAAUAAUUUUAAAAAAUAUUUAAAUAACAACAGUGAUAUUAUCAAUAAAAUUAGUAUUAUAUAUUGAGCAAAAACUUUUAUUAUGUCCAUAAAAUUGUUUGCUAAAAUCGUCUGACUUUUAUAAAGUCUUAAUUAAGAAACCAAACUUUUAUAUAAAAAAAAAAAACACAAAACUUGUUUAGUGCAAAGUUGUUUUUAUUGGUCGAUAUCACAAAUGCGUAUAAAAAAAAGUUAUUAUUGGUUUAAAAUAGGAUAAUUUCAUGUUUUUCAAACUAGGAACUUUUUUUGUAGUGUAAAUAGUUUUUGAGUGUAAAUAUCGAAACAAAUAAAAACAAUAGCUUAGUGCAGGCAGGUACAGUAAGAGAAUAUUGAAAACACUUUUCGAGGUUUUUUUUUCCCAUAAGCAUUUUAUAGUUCAUUUCACUACAAAUUUAAAUAUAUUUUUCGAAUCAAUAAAUUUUCGAUUUUUUUUUCAAAAAUUUAUCGCUGUGAGUUUCAAGUUUACGACUACCUGAAUUGCGUGUUUAAAUUUUUACCGAAACGAUCGCUUGAAAAAAAAAAAAAUAAAAAAAAAAUCAUACGUUUUGUCACCGUAACGCAGAAAUAUUAUAUUCGGCAAUAUUUCGAAAUGCCGCAGUAAUAAUAUUUCUCAAAGGCAUAAAAUAAUAUAUUAUUGUUAUUUUUUUCACGCCGUUGAAAGUAAAAAUCAAUAUAAUACGUAAAAAAAUAUAAAGCGCGUAUCGAAAUAACAGCCGCGUGUUGUAUUCUCGUCCGAGAAAAGGUUGUUUGCGUUUUCUGGGUCGUAUACUGUAUAGUACAAACAACUAAAACCCGUACACCUACUUAAACAAUAUUGUUACUAUACGGUCGUAAAAAUAUGAAAAAAAAAAAAAAAUAAAUAAUAAUAAUAAAAACACUCUGAAAUUAAUACACCUGCAAAAAAUAAUCGGUCGAGAUCGUGCGGGUUAAUUGCAGUUUCUUAUAAAAAAAAUUUAUCGAUCGGUUAUGUAAUUUUUAUGAGCGAACUUUUUUACCGUUAUACACUAUUAUUACAUUAAAUAGAGCGGCUUAACACACGUUUUAUAGUUUUUUUUUUUUUUACAUCGAUUUUGUCCUUAAAUGUCAAUAUACAGGCACCUAUAGCUAGGUAUAGUGCAAUAUGUUCGGCUUUAAAGAAUAGAACACGUGAACUAGUACCCUUUUGAUAUUUACCCGUUCCGCCUGCCAGCGGAUAUACUAUUACAAAUUAUAUUAUCUAGAUACUGCCUGUAUGCCAUUAAGUACGUCAUUUUCUACGUAUCGUUAUGUAUAUAUAAAAAAAAUAUUUGUUUGAAAAUAUACGAAUUUCAUAUCGUACCUCUAAUAUAUUUAUGAAAGUUAGUGUUAAGAUGACGUUAUACCUGCGCGUGCUUUCUCCGUCUUGAAAAACGUACGACUUGGCGAAUUUGGGUUCGGUAGUGACCGAUGUGUGUCGUUAGUUUUAAUAUUGAAGCGAAAUUGACCUAUCCAUCGAACUUAAAGCCGAGAAAAUUAUCUAUGUAUAUUUCUGGUGCUAUUUUAGAUUCUGAGUGUAGCGAAGAAUGUAUUAGUUUUACAAAGAUGUUAAUUUUUUUUAUUUUUGUAUGCUGUGUACAAAAAUUUUGCUAGAAAUCUUGCUUUCUGAAAGGAAUUUUCCUGAAGUGGUCCUGAAUAAGUCCUUUAAAUAUUUAAGCGAAAUGACCUGUAAUCAGAAUUAAAGAUAAGACUAUGUGCAACUAUUCUGAUUUUUCUCUCUUGAUAUUUUGAUUUUCAAGAGUAUGAUGCAAAAAUAUAUCCCAGAUUAAAAGCGUUUAUAUAAUCGAUAAUAUUACGUGUAGGUGUAUUCAUAAAUUGUGUAAAGAUUCGAAACGAACACGGUGUCGGGCUUAUUACGGUGUAAUCGGUAACACAAAAAAGUAUUUCGCACCGACGCCGAGCUAAUCCCGAAAUUAAUCCGUAAUUCCCCGAACGAAACGUGUGGACUUUAUAUUGAAACGCCUAAGUAAUAAAUUAAAAAAUAAGUAGACGUUUUGCAGCAGGUGGUUUAACUGUCGCGGGGUGUGAUUUAACGUAUGUACAAAGCGUUUUUGUAUUUUGUUAGAGAAAAAAAAUCGUUUCGUUUAAUCGGAUUUAAGAAACGUUCAACGUAUUAUUUUUUUUUAUACUCUUUUAAAUUUAUAGAGAAAUUUAAAUUCUUACUAUUCUAACUUCUAUACUUUUGUAAUACUUCGUGUAAUUUUUCACUAUUGGAUAAUGACCUUUAUUAUUUAAAAAUACAUAGUAUCAUAAAAAAAAAAAUUAAACGUACAUGAAAUAUGAAAUAAUGUGAUUUUUUUAUAUAAAUAUAUUUUCAUAGAAAAAUAUCAACUUAUAAUUUAUAAUUUUUUUGUUAAUAAUUUUACAAGCAAAAGAAAUAUAGAAAAUUCGAGUAUAUUGUUCUUUUUCCAUAAAGAUUAAAAUAUACGUACUUCGUGAGUGUAUUAUAAAAAAUAAGGAGAAGAAAAAUGAUCUUAGUAUAAGCUUCUUUCAUUGUUUUUUUGUUGUUUUUAAACUAAUUAAUAAAUAAAAAAAAAAAAAACGGAAAACAGAUAAACUUCACAUAAUAUAUCUGGGGAUCACUGGUAUAGUGCAGCAGUUUUCAACCAUACUAUUGUUACGUAGAAAGCUCAUAGUACGCGAAGGAAAUUUUGUUUUUUAUAAAAAAAUUAAUUCAUCGUUGAAAAUAAUAUAAAACUGAAAGAUAUCAAUGUGGAGCGCGAUGUCGUUGACGUCCUAAUCGAUUCGAAAUUAGGCGCAAAAGUUUUGAUACAAAAUAUUCCUAUCAUAUAAUCAUUAUCAUAAUAAUUCUACUUCGGACAAUUUUCAAAUUAGAUUUUCUAUUUGAUUUUACUUAUUGAGCAAUAAAUAAUUUACAUUUGCAUUAUUACCUACCUACAGUCGUAGUUUCAGAUUAACGCUAAUUAAUUAGAAGUAAUAAUUUCCAAUACAUAUAACAUAUAUUUUAAAAAAUGCGUACAUUUUUCGACAACCAAUGCGGUACGUGCAAAUUUAUGAAAUUUGUAGACAAUACUUAUUGGAUACGAAAAGGCGAGAACCAGUGGUGUAUUUAGGAUUUCACUGAGCAGAAGAUAUUGAAUUUUGUUACUGUGUCAUAUUAUAUAACGACUAUAACGUGCACCUGGUAGAUACCUAGUCUAAACAAAGAUCAAUUAUUAGUUUGUGUAAGUAAUUAAUAAAUAAAAAAAAAAUGCCAUACAAUUUUUAUUGAAAUUAAAUAACUAGUUUAGGUUCUAACUUCUAACCUCCUUCAUAUUUGCAGGAUUAUAGGUUUAGAUAUAAUUUUGAUAGGUUUCGUUGUAAAUAAGUAAAUGUUCAGGUAAGUACGUUUAGGUUUCUUUAUAUAUUAACUAUAAAAGUACCCACCUAUACGAUUUGAAAAUGUAAAAAUUAAAAAAAAAAAAUUAGGUAAGUAGUUAUAAAAGAUAUGAAAUAUAAAUAGUAGACACUACAAAAUACUCAAGUGGGUUGUAUAACUUUCUAUUCCCCCUCCUUUAAUACGCCACUGUCCAUAACGCCCGACUCGUAAUUGGAUUAGUUUAUUAAAACCGCGACAAGAACUUUGUUUUUUUUACAAAUUUUCAACAUUAUAUAAACUUACUAAUAUUAUUCGAUCGAUUUAUUAUCGUGUUUAACAAUAAUAACGCAAAACCUUCCCCUUAUACAGGUUAUUAUUAAUAAUUUAUAAUAAACUAAAAAUUAAUUAUAAAAACUAGUGUUUUAAUAACAUAGAUAGUUUAUACAGUGUUUAAACUUUUUUUUUUUUUAAAUGUCAGAUAAUAAUUAUAUAUUAUACUUGUAUAAUUUGAUCGACAGCGCGUUAAACGAUUAUUAUUAUUCACACAAUAUUAUAAUAAUGUAAAAACUUUAGUGUUUUUGAUUAUAGGUACGAGAAGUUAUUUGUCAGUUUAAUAAACUCAAAAACACGUUAUGACGACGGCCACACAGUCUUUUCCUUUUUUUUUUUAUAGAAUACGGUUAAGAAAUAUUAUAAAUGAUGCAGACAGGUAGUGUUUGUUUCAAAGCAUUUUCGUCAGACAUGUCGUAGUCGUUUCAUUUAAAUUAAAGCGUACCAUAUUGUAUAUAAUAGAUAACGUUUAACAUCCAGUUUUAGCCAUUUUGGGUGAUACGUCGUAAAGGCUUACUAUGGGCGACGGACGUACACUCUAUAUCAUUAUAAAUUGCAUGUCAACAGUGACUUUUUUCAUUUUCCUUUCAAUUCUUUUAAACCGGAAAAUAACGUAUAGAAAGGAGGAAUUUAAUCAAUACUAAAAUUAUAUCACACUAAAUUAUAAUACUGUUUUAUGUGUUGAAGUCUAACCACGAUAAUUUUCCUUAUUUGUUUUACUUCUCUAGAUUUUGAGCGUACCGAAGAUUAUGUUGAUUUUACUAUGACGUUGCGUGAUUUAUAUUUAAAUUUAUUAUGGAUGUUAACAACUUUCUUAACAAAUGCUUUGCUCCGAUCAUCAAUAUCAGGGAUAUUCGUUUCUGGUAGCAAUACUACUUGGUCUGAAUAUAGAUAGCACGUUGUUGAUUUUUUUUUAUAGUUGUAUUGAUAAUUGGAGUGGGAGGGUAAUCGUUGGGAAAACUGAAUCUUUUAGUAUUUACAUAAUAAUAAUAAUAAUAUCUGUUAUUUUCGAUUUUGUUUUAGAUUAUGAGCGUUACGAGGGACCUAUUGGUUUUACUAUGUUGUCUGGUUUUGGAAUUUUAUUUUUUAUUUUUUGUGACUGUGAACACCUUUUCUACUAGAAAAAUUGUUCCGAAGUAUAGACUAUAGCAUGGGUAGAUUAUGCUUGCAUAUAUAAAUGCAAUGAUAUCAAGAGCCAAAAUAUUUGUAAAUACAUUUUCUAAUUUAAUAUAAUUUGAUCUAAUUUGUACAUUUAUAACACAAAAGUAAUAACGAUAGGUAACAGCCUAAAAUAUAUUAUCAAAUUACGUAUUAAUAAAAUAUUAUUUUGUUUUGAUUAGAUUUCGAGUUUUCUAACGAUUUCUAAUACCUAAAUAUUAAGAACUGUGCGGUAAAUUUGAUAUCAAUUUUUGAUAUAUUCGUGUGAAUCGCUUUAUUCAACAAUGAAAAUAAUUAAGUUGAAAUAUCAAUCAAAUUUGAAUGAUGUUCAUCUUACAAAAUUACUGAGAACUGCUCUUACAUGCAACCAGAUCUUAAGUAGCUUACUAAAAAAACAGACACGAAAAAAAUACCACGCAAACAAAUUUAGCAUCAUCGUUUUCAUUGUUUUUAUUACGUUAACAUGAUGUUUUAUACCAGAAAUAUUAUUCCAAUCCAAAAAUGACAAGAAAUCUUUUUUGUUCUUUUUAAUAUUUCACUAUCGACAGAGAUAGUAAUUUUUUAUUAUUGAAGGAGUUUUUACAAUAAUUAGGAAAAACCAAAAAAGACGAAAUAUAUGAUUUUUUUUUAAAUUACAGAACAAUGAUUUCAUUGUUUUUAAUUUUUACGGUUUAUGUUUUCUAUCAUAAAUAUUUUUCCAAUAGAAACAUUUUUUUUUGUUGAAUUUUCAUUCUAGUUGGUGACCAAGAAAAUCGUUUUUCGGUUUUCUUUGUAAUUAUUUAAAAAUUGGGUAAAACUGAUAAAUAUGUAGAAAGAAAUGGAAAAUGUAUGAAAGUAAUUAUUUUAUUUAUUUUUAUAUUAUUAUUUAUUUAAAGUUUAUUUUAUUUGAAAAAAAAAUAUUUUGUUAUUUUUUUAUUUUACUCACUGGGAUAAGGAUUACAAAAAUUUAUAUUUCAAUUAAUUUUUUAUGUAUUGGUAAAAAACUUAGAAAAAUAAUUAUUGAUAUGCCUUAUCCCUAUGAAUAAUAUUUAAUAAAAAUAGAAUUUGAGUAUCUUUAUUAUUUUCGAAGAUAUUACAUUGGAUAUAUUUUCAUAGGACGCUCUGUAUAAUACAUUUUUAAAUAAAACAUUUGUCUGAACAAUUCAGAGGUUUAAUCUUAUUCGUUUAAGAUGAGGUAACUUUCGUCUGGUUUUGAGGUUUUUGAACUAAGUUGACUCUUGUCUGUUUUGGAAAUUGAAUUGCUCUUUUGGGCUUUAAAAAAAGUAAAUAAAGAAAUUCCUUUAAUAUGUAUUGUGAUACGUUUUAUGCUUUCAAAAUCAAAGGAAGAUAUAUCAGUUUUGUAAAAAAAAAGGAUGGACAUAUUUUUUGAACGUGGAUACAGCCACUGUUGUAGGUAGGAAGGAUGGGAUUUUGAGAAGGUAUGAUACAGACGGGAAUUUAAUGUAUAUCUGUAAACAACGACAAACCAUUGCUAAUGAAAAAAAUAUUCUGAACGGAGUUCAAUUGAUAGUGUUGCUUUGUCAACAAUAUAUUGUCAUACUAUGGUAAAAUGAUUACAGCAAUAUACGUUUCCACGACAACAAUGAUUGUUUAAAAAAGAUUAAAAUAAUAAAAAAUUUCACGUGAUAUUCGUCCAUUAUUUUAGAAAUAUUUGAUCCUCGUAGACCAAUUAUCCUUAAGCGUACACGAGAAUCAAUGAUAGUGAAUAUUUUCUAAGAAAAUAUGUAAUGAAAUAAGUAAUGAUUACGGUUUAUAAUUAUAAAUUCACAUUUAAGAAUUAAAUGAUCUAUACAAAUUAUAUUUUGAAAAUUGUUAAAAAAGUUUAAAGAAAUAUUCUGAAAUCAACUCACAAUAAUUUGCUUGUUAUGGAUUAUUUUGUAAUAAACCAUCUUUGAGUUAUUUUCUCGUGGCUGUAGUGAAUUUAAACAUUUUGAACUCAUCAUAUAACCACCUAUAAAAAUGGCAAACACACCAUCAGCUCUUUUUUAAAAAUGUUUGUCGUCUCAUUUUAUGUUGUAUAUACGAUCAGGUAGGUAUUCUAUUUAACCGUAAACGAGAUUAACUAUUAAUAAUUAUUGAUGACCGUUAACUAUUUUAAAUUAUCAAUGAUUGUUAUUAUUUACUCAUCAAUAUGUUUUUACAAAUUUGUUAUGGAUAAUCGUAAUUAUUAUUAUUACCUACCCCGAGUAACUAUACUAUCGUUUAUAACAGAUUUCGUAACAACACGUUUUAUUAAUUGACAUGACAGAUUAUAAUAUUAUAAUUGAAUAAUAAUUUUUGCCUUCGUAUAACAAUAACAUUGUAUAGGUAGUAAACUUAAUAUCAACAUUUUCGAAAUAAUCGAAUUAUUUGAUUUCAUUAUUUAUCGGUAAUAGAUAUCGCGUGCGCGUCGUUGGUGUAAAUACAUUUUUAUUAAAAUGUAGAAAAUCGGUUUUUCAACCGCCGUCUGUCAAAUAAUCGUACGCCGCCGUUGGUUUAUUAAAAUGAACGAGAAACAAUAUAUCACUCGAUUGUACCACCACGGUUAAAAUAAAACACGUUUUAGUACACAUUUUUAUGAAAUGGCAUACUGCGAAAUAACAAUUUUGCUGUACCUCCGUCAAAUUCGACAUAACAAGAGAAUGAAACACUGCUUGUACGUGGGCAGUGUAAGUUCUACUUAGGUUUUUUCCCCCCGUUUUACUCGUAUACAAUUGUGGUAUUUAUUUAUCAUUGUAUUAUUUUCGAGAUUGUAUGCAGCCACGAUCGACGGAGUAGACGACUAAACGGAAAUGGUAUGAGGAUUGAGGAGACGUGAAAGUGGACAAUGUAACCGUAUAUAGCUGACUUUGUACUUUCGUGCGGGAUAAAACCGAAAUGGAAGCAGUUGUGCGUAUUUUGCACACGGGAUCACGAAUCAUAAACAUUGUGGAUUUAUACAGAGCUUUUCAAUAAGAUUUGAUAAAUAUAUACAAUAGGUAUAACUUAAAAACUCGUGUCGUAUGGUAACUUAUGCCCAAUAUGGUGUCUUAUAUAUCCGUAGAAAAGGCAUUAUUAAAGUAUAUGCGGACGAAGCCACAGAUUAUUACAGUUACCUAAAAGGUAAAAAAGGUAUAAAAGGCUUAUAUGAGUAAGUUCGUCGCUCUUAACAUGAUACCAUUUUGGUUAGGGUUCUUAGUGUCACAAUACCACAAUAUUAUUAAAUAGAUAUAGUCUGGUACAGAUGUCGUGUUUGUUGGAUUAUUGUGGCUGAUUGCGGUUUAAUGCAGUGAUAAAUUGUGUUUUACGAGUUCUUAUUUUUGAAAUCAAAAGUGGCAUUAUUGUAAUUACAUAUUAUGUAUAACAUAGGUACCUUGUUCUUGUGAUGAACGAUAACAUUUUUAAUAAUAUUUUCAUUAUUUAUGCUGUUAUAAAUAUACGAUUACCCUAUUCAGUAAUUAAUUUCGUAAACUUGGUUUUUAUAGACAAACGUUUGACGGUUAAACAUUAUGUGCCGAUAAUGUUUGUUGUUUGUUUUUUAUCGUAUUUGUGAAAAUAUCAAUUGAUUUUAUCUUUUUAACGUUAGUAGAACCCAAAUUACAAUGCAAAGUACAUUUUUCCGGGGGGGGGGGGGGGAUCUGAGACAAUGCUUUCCAAAUACUUGUAAAGCACUUAGUAUGUACAUAAGAAUAUAUUACUUAUACUUAUAAUUCGAUUCAUGUAACAAAUAUUUAAAAAAUAGAAUUUUUAUUUUGUUAAUUUAGUAUAUAUAUACCAUAAUAUGAAUUAAUUGUUAAAUAAAAAAAUUUAAGCGAUACAAAAUAUUGCCUCAUACAAUUUAUUUUAAUAGGUUUUUUACGUAUUAUAUUUAAAAAUAUAUUUUCAAUCGUUCUGUUUAUAAUUUCGAUAAUAACUUAAAAUUUUAUGUUGCUAUGACCCAUCACCCGGGAUCGAUCAAAUAAUGAAAUAAUUAUUAAUUGUACUAAAUAGAAAUUUUUUAUUAAGUAUUUAUUACUGUUUUCCUUUUUUAGAGCAAUUUUUAUCAUUUAAAUUCACACCCUAAUCAUAUUUACUAUAUUUACAGUUGAUAUUUACGGCUGAUGAUAUCAACUAAUCCGAGAUACGAUUGUUGCCUGAACGUUUUUAACUAUCAGAAAUGUGUACGGUGUGUGACUUAUUUUGUAUAUAAUUGUAAAUUAUUAUCCUUUGACAAAACGACAUUACGUGCGGUCUGCAAAUAGAUCCGUACGGAACGGAUCUAAACGCGUGCGGGUCAUGAAUAACAGUACCACACUGCGGCGAUGGUGGUGACGGUAAAAUAAUUUGUCGCUUCAUUUUACAGCAGUUAGUACGAGUCGUAUACAUAAGUUCUCAUGGUCGAUUUUAGUCAGCUAAACGACAAAAACAAAAACCACUCAACGCAUCAUUAUAGAGGUAAAUUUCUGUAUUAUAUGGCGACUUGAAUUCGAUAAAAAAAAUAUUAUAGAUAGACAGUGUAGGUAGACUCAAGUGGAUAAAACUGCAAAAUCCCCAACAUUAUAUUAUAUUAUGUUGGAGAUCUUUAUUGUGAAUAUUUUUUCUGUUUUUGUAUCGUUGUCUAUAGCCUUUUGUAUUAUAUUAUAAAAAAAAAAAAAGUCAUCCAGUAACAUAAAAUACCUAAAAUAACAUAAUUCUAUAAUAUAUGUUAUAAAAAUCAUAAAACUCGUUAGACGUAUUAACUACUAUUAUCUAUAUCUACUCUUAUACUAUAUUUAAUGGAAUUUUUAAAUUGAAUUUCAGCAAGUCUACUCGCAACUUUCUGUAUUUGAAAAAAAUACAUUUCAUGUUUCGUUCAAUUUGUAUUAUAUUUAUAAUCAUAAAUUAUUAAUAUAUUAUUCUAUUGUAUAUUGUCCUGGUUUCCUGCUAAGACCUAACUAGACAAACUGUAACUACAAAAAUUGUAUUGUUUGGGCAAAUUAGUUUUUCGUUUUCUUUGUUUAUGUCACCUUGAAAUCAUUAAUUCUCACCAUUUUUGAAUUUAUUAUUUAUCAUACGUCCAUUACGCAUUCAAAAUAUCGUAGAAUAUUUUAUGUUGUACUUAAUCAAUUAUUUUUAUCUUUUCUUCUUUAUUUUUAAGGGGGCGCUUUAUUCGAAUUUAUUGUUUCAGUCUAAUCAAAGGGCAGCAUAACAAUACAGCAAAAUUACAUUACUUAGAAAAUAAGCUGUAGUGUUCAGGUAAAACAUAGAGUUUAAUUACUUAUAGCACAAUUUAAAGGUAAUAAUAUUUAAAAAAAAAAAAAAAAAUUGAUCACGAGAUCAUAGUUUUUAAAGGCUCGUCCAUUAAGUCUUUCAAGUUAUUUUUUAAACAGGCUGCGCUCUCUAAUAGAUUCUAUUCUAUAAGACAUUUGUCUUCUAAAUAUUGUCAUUAGACGAACAUUUUUUGUCACGUUUCAAAUCAUUUUAAAAAUCGUCCGUAACAGUUGGCUAUAUUGUUAAUAACAUGAAACGUUCUUAAAUCGUUUGCAUAAUUUGCAUAGAACCAUUUGCUCAGCGUUUUCUAGGUUUGUUUUUGUGGAUGCACACGAAUUGCCUCCUAUCUGACCCUCGAAUUGUCACCCGUGAAUUUUUUUUUAAAAGGUUACUCGAAUUGCCUCCCGAUUUCUAAAAUAUCAUUCAUUCGAAUUGUCUUCUAUUUUAGGUAGUAACCUUCUUAUAUCGAAAUUGAUUUCUAUUUUGAUUUUUUUGAAAACUAAAAAAUAUUUUACAUAGCUAAGUAUUAGGUACACGACAUUAGUACACAUAUGAUUAGUAGACAUUAGUACAAAAGAGCAAAUUUGAUACGUAUUGUAUCAAAAUUACAUCAAAUUUAUCAAUUAAGUUAUUAAUAAAAUUAAUUUUACUUUUAGUAGUUGUCCUAACUUUUUGGUUUCCACUGUUGAAGAUCUAAUAAAAAUUACCGUACCUAACUGCAUUGAUUUUAGUAUUUAAAAAUUUAUAAAUAUGAGGGUGAGAGGAUGAAAAAUUAGAAUUUAAAUUUUUGUGGAAUGAUUCACAAGCGUUAGUAGACUUUUGUAUACUUGAUGUUAUUGCACCUCACAUUCUUGGUGAGAAAGUUGAAUCUUCAUCUAUAUAAUUUUCAAACAAAUAAUAGGAAAAUUGAGUUAUUUUGACAUUAUCAGGUUUUAAUUCACCAAAAUCCAUGGUGAAAUUGCCAAAAGUUCCAUCCACAUGUAUUUAGCGUACUUAGAAACUUAAUAUUAUCGUCGCAUGAAAACAUUAACUAAUCAUUUAAUCGGCCAUUUACUAUUAAAAAGUUCUCAUCUAUAAACAUUUUAACCUUAAUGGACGAUAAAACUUUAUAAACUUCAUUCACAUUUUGUGGCAAUUUUGGAUAUAUAGAAUUCCUAAUAUUGUUCAUGUUAUUUUUAAUGUUAAUUUACUUCUGAAGUUGUUAAUGUACUACUUACAUUACUAUUUUUUAUCUCGUCGUGAAAUAAUUUUGCGAAAUUAUGUUGAACUAGUGAUAUUGAAUACGAUAGUCAACUAAGCUACUGAUAUCAGAUAUCGAUAAGAUUAUUGCAAUUGACAAAUAAUUAAACUGUCUGGGAAAUACUAUAUGUAUAUAUUACUAUAAAUAAUAAAAAUAAUAUUUUUGAACAUUACGGAAAUCAAUAUAAUAAUCGAUAGUACACGUCAAUUAUCGAUAUAUUAAUUAAUAAUCUAGGUAUGCAAUGGGAGGCGAUUCGAGUGGACGGUUUGGGUAUACUCAAAUCGCCUCCGAAAACACCCGGAGGCAAUACGAGUGAAAAAAGGUCAUCUACCUGAAUUUUGGAGGCAAAUCGAGAACUCCCGUUUUUGUUGGUGCAAUAGGUUGGUUCGCUUUUGAUGACUUUUUAUUUUCUUCGUUUAUUACAUGGAUCGACAGUUUGGAUGGCGAUCCAUUACCUGAUUACCUUAUUAUCUGAUGCAGUAUUAUCUGUAUCAUCAAUUUUUUGUAAUUUAAAUUUUUAAAACAAGGCACUGUUUCUAAGGUUAUCGUCCUUGUUUCCAUUUAAAUGUGACGAUUUUGUGGUCCUACUAACAUAAUUCUGAGAUAUUUCUGAUUGAUUAUUUUUAAAUACGUUUAAAGCCAUUGUUUCUGCAAUUGUGCUUAAAAAAAGUUUAGCACUGGAUGCUUUACCGGAUUCUCUAUGACGCAGUUUGUUAUUGACAUUAUUUCUAGUAACUUUUGCGGUAUUAUUAACUUACUUUUUGGAAAAUAUUGGAUACUCAGUAUUUUGGAAUUUGACUUGUACUACAGUUUUUGAAUAUAUUUUCGAGUUUUCGUUAUUUUAAUUUUUUUAACGAAAAAAAAUUUUCGAUUUUUCAUUUGGUACCUAAUCUAUGCAAUCGAAUGCAUACCUGCCGCACCCGGACGCAAUCGAAAACCGGUAAAAACAGUAAAGUCAAAACGGGACGCAAUCUGACGAUGCCAGCUGUAUCAUCUUUGAACUUAAGCAUACUUAUUGAUUUAUUCCCUAUAAUAAACACGGUGAUUUAUCUGUUUAUAGUAUUGAACGACCACCCCCUCCGGUUUGAUACGACAUUUUUUUAAUAGAUUUUUAAGUUAUCACUAUAGUACAGAUUUUCACCGCGAUAAAAAAAAAAAAAACCCGAAGUUACAUAAUAACAUCGAAUAAUCAAAUUCAAUAUAAUAUUAUGUAGGUGUAAUAUGCGACAAGGGGUUUUUUGAAAAUUCGGCGUUUACUAUAAUACUAUACGCGAACUCGUCUACUUGUCACGACGAGCAUAUUGAUCACACCCGUAUUAUAUUCUCUCGACAACGGUUAUUAUUAUAAUAUCAUACUUGGACGAAAUCUAAAUAACAAUAAUAAUAAUAAUAAUAAUAGGUAAUCAUUUUUCCUUUUACGCACGUGUUCAUGACACGCACAAUAAUUUAUUAUAAUCGAUUGUUUUAAAUUAUUAUCACACACGUCUUUGAUGUGUACGGUACAGAUUAUAACAAUAAUAUUGUUAUCACGGAAUGUCAAGCCGGUAGCGCGUGCGGUUGUAACGGUUUAACGCGGGCCGUCAUUUUUGGCGCGGAUCCGUCGAGACCUUUCGGCCGUCAUCACGUCCUCCGUCACACGCUGCAUUAUACGACGAUGACGGUUUUCCAGAUGUAUUAUAUGUAUAUGAAUACGUCGGGGGACGCGCGUUUAUUAUUUAUUAUUAAAAAAAGACGACCGGUCCCUGUCUAUAUAUAUACGUAUAUUCUUAUAUUCUAUACAUUCUAUAAUAUAUUCCGAAAAUCAUACUACGCUGACGGCGGCGAAUAAAACCGCGCGUAUCAUAAACUAAAACCAACGCGUGUACCAUCGACAACGCCCCGAAAAACUGUAAUAAUAAUAACAAUACGACUCGGGAUGUUUUCUCGGCGAAGGUUUCGGAAAAAAUCAGCUCGUAUUGUACCGAAACGAUAGUUUCGGUAUCGACGGAAAAUGUACAUAUAAAUAUUAAUAAUUUUAUUACAAUAUUGUAUACACAUAUAUAGGGGGUUGCCGCGAUGGAGACAGCCGACGAAAGUCAAAAGUUCAAACGCGAGUUUCCAUGAUAUUAUGUAUAAUACUAAUAAAAGCAAAAAGACUCGAAAGCGCAAUACGACGGGACCGAAAGUCGUGUGUUUUUGUUUUGUAUUUGUAUGCACACAGGGCGAUUUUUUCUAUCGCUGUACAUUCAUUACUUUGAAAACUAUUGAUUUUUUCCGAAAAGAAAUCAUUUUGAAAUUUAAUAAUCAAACAGCUUGACAAAUGUUACGAUACCAUUGUUUUUUGAUUUAACUACAUUUUCGGGGGUGAAUCGACAACUUACUUUUGAUUUUUCAAUGGUCACUUAUAUACUAAAAAAAUUCAUAAAUAGACGGAUUAUUAUUUGUAAUUUUUUCGUUGAAAUAUUUGAUUUUUGUCAAUCCGUUUACGAAAUAUGUACCACUUUUAAGUUUGGGCAAGGAGAGAGUAGUGGAGCAUUAUACAUAACGGUAAUAUACAAUUUUAAAGCCACCUGUUUCUUAAAUUGUCAAGAAUUUUUUUUAAAAUUUAACACUUCGAAAUAAUAAUGAGUGUUGAAAGAUAAAAAAAAUCACUCUGUAUACAUAAUUUUACGGUGUAGAAUUUUCGAAAUUCAAUAUCGCGUAUAUUUUCUUUCCAAAUAAUACAUCAUUAACUCCGAACCAUACGAACGCCGUCGUUCGUAGUCUCGCGUUUGCCUGUCGAGUUUUAUAAUAUUUUUGCUUUCUCGACACCAAAAACGAAUACAUAAUACGACUCGUCAAUAAUAUCUGCACUAUAAUAGUAGUAUAAUAAUACUACUGCCAAUUCCGCAAUAAAACUCGUAUAUUAUUAUGGGUACUAAAUAUUUUGUAUUCGAAUAGCGAUUGGGCCAGGGGUGACGUUACAAAAGUAUAUUAUUAACUAUAGUAUAGGUUUUUCCAAAAUAAAUUUACAAAACGUAUUUUAAACGUACAUAAAUUUUAUCGUCCAACACAUUCUAAAAUUUCAAUUUUUUUUUUUCAUGCAUACAAAUAAUGCCAAUAAAUACCAGCAUAAAGAAAAAAAAAUUUUAAUUUUGAAUGGGAAAAUGUUAAUGAAAUAAACGUGUAUUUUAUAACACUCCCAAGUAGCAGAACUUCGUCAUUAUAUACAGUGGUAUCCUCUUAUUUUCUUUUAUUGACAUAUUUUUUGUGCUAUACUUCCGCGAGAAAAAGACGAAAUUUGCAAUGCCGGCAGUUAAAAGUUGAAACUUCGUAGAAGGAUGCAAUUACAAAAUUUCAUCGGUUUGUUAAAUUCGAGAGAGGCUCUAUAUAUGGGUGAAUAAAGCUAGAUAAAUUUCCUCGUCUCGAUAAAAACUGCGGUGAUAUUUACGAGUGAAAUUAUUGCUUCGGUCGGGUUUUUAAAACAUCUGUAAUUUCUGAGUUCGGGAUCAUUUAAUUCGGAGGAACAAGUUAAAAGCGGGGAAAAGAUAAAUAUAUGUAUAACGGACGCAAUACGCAAAAAGUAUGUAGUCCAAUUAUUAUUUCCGGGGAAAAUUCCGCUGAAUAAAUAAAAAACAUUUUUGAAACACUCUCUCGAUAUAAGUAUAUAAUAUUAUCGCGAAUUAAUAUAAUUCGCAUAAAACAUCGCGUACGGUAUGAAAACAAAUAAUUUCCCGCAAUAAAAUACAUUUCUCGCGUACCAUAAGGAAAAAAAAAAAAAAAUCAAAAUUGUUUAUUUUCAUACUCGUUCGGAAAUGCUUUUGUAAUAUAUAUAUUUGGCCGGCCAGUAUAGGUAGUGACGGUGUUCCCAGCGGGCAGAUAAUACUAUGCUCGCGAGCUUAUCCUCUUUUUAAACCCUUAGACGAAAAAUAUUAUUUUAUUAUACCCGUUCGAUUUAUAUACAUUCGUAUAAAAAUGAAAUAAAAAAUAUAUAUUUUUUAUUUUACGACGAUGAUCCGUCGCGUAUUUGUAUACAUUUUUUUUUUGUUACGAGUUUAUUUUUGUACAGGUUUUUCAAACGUCUCUUGGGCGCUGGUAUGCAUAAACGGAAAGAGCAGUAAAGUACCUAUACACACAAAAUAUUUCCCGAAGAAACAAAAAUACCAAACUCAAAUUGCAUAAUAUAUGAACUGCAGUGACACUCGCAAUAGCUAUAGCAGUCGACAACAUAAGGUAGGUAGUAAACUUUUACUCGGUUAUGAUUUUGUUUUUUCGAUAUACGUUUCUUUUGUUAUCCU